AGCGAACGCUGGCGGCAGGCUUAACACAUGCAAGUCGAGCGGGCAUCCUUGUGGUGUCAGCGGCAGACGGGUAAGUAACGCGUGGGAACGUGCCCUUCGGUUCGGAAUAACUCAGGGAAACUUGAGCUAAUACCGGAUACGUGCGAGAGCAGAAAGGUUUAUCUGCCGAAGGAUCGGCCCGCGUCUGAUUAGCUAGUUGGUGAGGUUAUGGCUCACCAAGGCGACGAUCAGUAGCUGGUCUGAGAGCAUGAUCAGUCACACUGGGACUGAGACACGGCCCAGACUCCUACGGGAGGCAGCAGUGGGGAAUAUUGGACAAUGGGGGCAACCCUGAUCCAGCCAUGCCGCGUGAGUGAUGACGGCCUUAGGGUUGUAAAGCUCUUUUCUCCGGGACGAUAAUGACGGUACCGGAGGAAUAAGCCCCGGCUAACUUCGUG
rnacentral:rRNA from 1 species